GUUUGGCAUCUCGGACGGGAAAACUCCCAGUUGAUAAGAAAAUUUGAAGGUGAACGAACAACAAUGGCAGUCGUAAAGAACCCCAGUCUCGAGAGCAACAGGGAGAUCUAUAUCAAGGACAAGGACUUCUACUUGACCAUAUACACGGAACUGAACUGACUCGGCAGAUGUGCCGGUACCACGGUCUCGGAUACGGCAACCCCGGUAACCAACUAGGCCGCAAACCAAUUCGUCUAACGAAAGCCACCAACGCCAGACGACUGGUCGUAUCCUGCGAAUCCUGGAACGUAUCCUGCCAAGUGGGCCCAUCCAUCAUGAUCAAUUAGCCCUUUUCAAUGUCAGGCCAUCAAUCAACCAAUCCAAGGUGGCUCUGGGUCUGGGCUCCCACUCAAACGAGUCGAUUAGUCCCGGCCGGAGACGAGAAGGAUACCAGGAAGCACACCUCGAGCACUCAAAACACACCCGGGCUUCACAUAAAUACGUUUAUUAUAAUUUCAGAUUUUGUUUUGGAAAUAGUUCUUGAGAUAAGCUUGACGUUUCGUAAAAUGUAAUACAUAUAUAUUCUUCGCGGUAA